AUUGAACGCUGGCGGCAGGCCUAACACAUGCAAGUCGAGCGGAGCGGAGGACGGGUGAGUAAUGACUAGGAAUCUGCCUGGGAGUGGGGGAUAACGUCCGGAAACGGGCGCUAAUACCGCAUACUAUCAGAUGAGCCUAGUAAGGAUUAGCUAGUUGGUGGGGUAAAGGGCUACAAAGGCGACGAUCCGUAACUGGUCUGAGAGGAGGAGGAGUCACACUGGAACUGAGACCCGGGCCAGACUCCUACGUGAUGCAGCAGUGGGGAAUAUUGGACAAUGGGCGAAAGCCUGAUCCAGCCAUGCCGCGUGUGUGAAGAAGGUCUUCGGAUUGUAAAGCUCUUUAAGUUGGGAGGCGUUACCAACAGAAUAAGCACCGGCUAACUUCGUGCCAGCAGCCGCGGUAAUUC
rnacentral:rRNA from 1 species